UUGAUGGAAGUAGCAAGCCUCUGCCAAGUGGAAUGCUUUAAAAGUCAAGUUUUCUUUUAACAGAGGCAAGGACUUGGAAGUGUUGUGGAGCGGAUGAGAGCAAUCAAGGACAUGAAGGUGAAAUCAAGAUGGUCCAGAACAGGGGUCCGUGAGGCCACACAAUUAAGGAAGUACAUCUUCCCACUGUAUCAUAUACAUGAAGGCUGCAUCCAUUUACUCACCUUGAAGUGGAAUAUCCAGUAUCCCCUAGUGAUGGAGGAAGAAUGUCGGAAAAGCCUAGACUCAGUCCCUAUUAGCAGUGGAAAUUAAAACAUAUGGUGGGUAAUUAAAGAGGAACUAUACUUGGCUGAAUCUGCAUUUUGUGUAUUUGUCUUAUUAACUAUUUGGGGGUAUAUAAUGUUUCUAAUAAAAUAAUAAAGUCACAUUAUGGAAAUCA
rnacentral:lncRNA from 1 species